rnacentral:misc_RNA from 1 species
GAUGAAGAACGUAGCGAAAUGCGAUACUUGGUGUGAAUUGCAGAAUCCCGUGAACCAUCGAGUUUUUGAACGCAAGUUGCGCCCGAAGCCAUCAGGUUGAGGGCACGUCUGCCUGGGCGUCACAUAUCGUUGCCCUAUGCCUAUUGCAGUGCAAUAGGAAUUUCUAGGGCGAAUGAUGGCUUCCCGUGAGCGUUGUUGCCUCGCGGUUGGUUGAAAAUCGAGUCCUUGGUAGGGUGUGCCAUGGUAGAUGGUGGUCGAGUUAGAACGAUACCGAUCAUGUGCAUGCUCCGCAAAAUAUGGCCUCUAUGACCCACACGCGUCUUUUGACGCUCAUGACGAGACCUCAGGUCAGGCGGGGCUACCCGCUGAAUUUAAGCAUAUCAAUAAGCGGAGGA